rnacentral:rRNA from 1 species
UACGGAGGGUGCAAACGUUGCUCGGAAUCAUUGGGCGUAAAGCGCGUGUAGGCGGCUUGGUAAGUCUGCUCUGAAAGCCCGGGGCUCAACCCCGGGAGGCGGGUGGAUACUGUCAAGCUCGAGUCCGGAAGAGGAGUGUGGAAUUCCUGGUGUAGCGGUGAAAUGCGCAGAUAUCAGGAGGAACACCGGUGGCGAAGGCGGGUCUCUGGGCAGUAACUGACGCUGAGGAGCGAAAGCGUGGGGAGCGAACAGG